rnacentral:rRNA from 1 species
CCUACGGGUGGCAGCAGUGAGGAAUAUUGGUCAAUGGACGAGAGUCUGAACCAGCCAAGUAGCGUGAAGGAUGACUGCCCUAUGGGUUGUAAACUUCUUUUAUAUGGGAAUAAAAUGUUCCACGUGUGGGAUUUUGUAUGUACCAUAUGAAUAAGGAUCGGCUAAUUCCGUGCCAGCAGCCGCGGUAAUACGGGGGAUCCGAGCGUUAUCCGGAUUUAUUGGGUUUAAAGGGAGCGUAGGUGGACUGUUAAGUCAGUUGUGAAAGUUUGCGGCUCAACCGUAGAAUUGCAGUUGAAACUGGCAGUCUUGAGUACAGUAAAGGUAGGCGGAAUUCGUGGUGUAGCGGUGAAAUGCUUAGAUAUCACGAAGAACUCCGAUUGCGAAGGCAGCACACGGGACUGCAACUGACACUGAGGCUCGAAGGUGUGGGUAUCGAACAGGAUUAGAUACCCCAGUAGUC